rnacentral:lncRNA from 1 species
CAUAAGCUAUGAGUUUCGGCACGAUAUCGUCAGUCGAGAAAUGAACAGCAUGAAAUCAAAACUGAACAACUUGAUUGUCAAAAUGCGAAGGCAAAAAUCUAAUAUCACUGCCUGUUUGGAAGAAGUUGCAAUCCGAAUAAAAGACUUGACGGAAUACACAAAAAAAUUGAUGCUGCUUUCAAAGUCUGAUUCUAAAUCCAAAAUUAAUGUCGGCGUCUACAUAGGGUAAGUUUAGGUUAUCCAGACUUGUAGAGACCUUGUCUCUACAUGCCAAUUUUGACAAAACAAAGUGAAUUUUCCGGCAGUUAACACAAAUUCACUGGAAAAAUAUUAAAAUACUAAAUUAGCGAUCGAGGAAAGCCUUUCUUCCCUUGCUGGUCAGAAGAUGUGAUAGAUGCAGUUUACACUUGCACUCGAGUGAAUUUUCAAUAAGGAGUUUGCAAUUUGCAAUUAUGAAUGGUACAUGACUUAAGACUUUUUUAUCUUACGUUUUUCAGUUUAUGAGAGGUGUGUUGAAGCAAAUAAUCCAGAACAUAACCAAGCGAAAACAAACAAAACUAUUUUAAGUAUUGAGAAAAAGAAAGUACUGCUGAGAAUGGAAGAUAAGGAAGAGCUAAGUUCAACUAUUUAUGCUAUUGACUUUGACGUUUUGGAGAUACAGAAUCAAGAAUUGCGCAAAUUGCUACACCAGAAGUGCCAUUGUUUAGCUUUGACAAAACGUUUCUUAGGCAGUGCUGAAAAAUCCUUGACAGCUUCAGUCAAUUUAGUUGAUUCUUUAAGUCAAGAGCUGAACAGUAUCAGAAAACACAUCAAACUUAAUCGAAAGAAACUUAUGAACCUUCGUAGGAAAAGGAAAAAACUCGAGUUGGAAAUCAAACAGAAAAGAAAGGAAGCUCUAAUCUCGGAAAACCAUGUCAUCAAAAGCUCAGGCAAAAGUAUAGAGGCUUUAGAUGUGGUGUCAUAUGCAUUAACUAAACUUUGCGUCAAUGAUCUGGAACGGAAACUGAAAAUCAGUUCGAGGAAGCACAAUCUCAAAUUGGGAUUGCUCAGUUGUGUGAGGCAUAAUUUCAAAGUUCUAACCAACAAAUCAAAUAUGACCUAUAGAAAUUCCCAGGUCUUGUAAUUAUCAACAAAAAAAAAAUGUUCUUUGAAGUGUACAAGUAUUCUCCACCUAUCUUGUAUGAUUUGAAUUAAAUUAAAUUAAAUUGAAUUUGAUCAUCUUGCCUUAUUUUUUGUUCUCUUAUUAGAACGCAGUAAUGAGGAGCUGAUAUAAGUUCAGACAAUGUGAAAUUAAUGAAUUUAUUUUCAAGCCACUGUCAAACGAGCAGGUCGACUGUAGAAUCAAUGACAUUUGCCGCAAAAUUGACAUUCUGUGGGCAUAUUUGCACCCUGUCGGACUGUACAGUUGGGACUGCUUGUGUGAGAGCAGCUUAAAUCUUCAUCAUUUUAGUUUUAAAAUUAUUUCAGUGAUUACAUUUAAAAGUUUUCAGUCCCUUGGUGCUCAAUGUUGAAUUCUGUAAUGUAAUUCUGGUAGUGUGUCUAAUGUACAAUCAAGAUGUAGCAAUUGAUUUAAAAGACGGAAUACUUUAGAUCUAAUUUUAAUUUUUCAAAAUGAAUGGCAGUAUCAUUUUGGUUAAUUGAAUUUCUUCUUUUUGAAAAGUAAUUACUGUACUGAGCAGUUUGAUAAUUUUACUGCAUAUCAUGCGUGCCUGGAAAAAGGGCUAAGUAGGUAUAUCAUUAUCUUUAAGGAGUCAUUGUAGAGAAAGAGGACACUUUUACAAUACAUCAGCCCAACUUUCUUUCAAAUAAAAUAAAAUUUUGGGACGCUUCGUUUUUUUAAAAGGAAAUCAAAUGUUAUCAGCAGUGAUACAUUCCUUGAAGUUUUUUAUUGUUUUUGAAGAAUAAUACUUACAUAGUUACUAGGUAUAAUAUUGCCCUGGUUUUUGCCGAAGAAUGAAACACAAAAAAAAUUUUGUAUUAUUAUUCAUAUGCAGCCAGAGGCUGGUUUUUCCUGUAAGACAUAGACGGUUCUACAAGGGUUUACAUGAACCCACAAGCGGAAAUUUGGCACCUAAAUAUUACGAUAUUCAAGUUAAAAAUAUGUCAAAAUAGCGUCUGUGAGAGAUUCACCGAAAAAAAGUGAAGUUGAUUUAACAAUAUGGAUGUAAAAAAAGUGUGGGAGAACUUACAAACUGCUGAAUCACCCGUUACAGUAGUUACUUUAGCAAUGCCGAGAUGUAAAAAUAAGAGCUUUGGAGGGUAAUUUAGCAUUUAAUAUGUUCUCGCACACUUUUUCUACAUCCAGAAUGUUAAAUCAGCUUCACUUUUUUUCGGUGUUCGAUUUUCAAAAUUUUCCGGGGUAGGCCCUCCAGAUCCCUUUCUUACUGGGGUAUCCCCAUCCAGACCCCUUACUAAAGCGCUAAUAAAAUGGUUCCAAGCCUCUCGGCACCCUCAAGCAUAGAGGUCUAGAACCGCCCAUGCUGUAAGGAUCAUUUUUUUUCUAAUCACUCGCAACGAAAAAACAAUGGACAGGAACGUUGGAAAAGGGUGCUUCUGCACUGUGUUUUCUCUCAUUGCUUUUUUCCCAUAUUGGUAUUGGUCAACAGAAUUUGCGAACUCCUCCCUCGAUAAAUGAAGCCGAAAAAUUAAAGAUUUCCCUACGUACCUUUUUGCAUUUUUUACAAGUGUCUACCAGCACUGGGGUAGCAACAACUGAAAUAGCAUGUUGGAUCUUCCUUAUCACCGGCCUAAAAAAAAAAAAAAAAAAAAUUAUUUCCUCCUACCGAAAGUAAUUUUUUUAAGUACCUAGGCAUCUACUUCCACCCUGAAAAUUGCAUUUGGAGUGCCAGAUUUUUUUCAUCCUUUUAUUCCUGUUCAAAAGGAUGGAAAAAAGUCUCCCCCCCCCUCCAGUCCUGGCCACUGCGCGUAUGAUCCUCAAGGAAAAGUUUCGAGAGGGAAGUUUUAACACCUCUUCCAUUUUUUCUCUGCUUUCUAGAACUUGGUUUUUUUCCAAAAUUUUCUG